CGAGAGUCUUUUUCAGCGUUAGUCUAGUUUCGUUUCACUAGACUAAACAGUUUUAGUAUUGAAGGCUCACCACGCUCAACCGAGAAAGAGGUAAUUUAUUUUAAUGAGAAAAGGAAGUAGAAAAUUUUUGAGAAAGAAAGAAGAGAAAAUUUUUGUAAGAAUGAGGAAGUAAAAUCUUUCCGUGAGGGACUGAUUUCAAACUGAGAAGAGUAUUUGCUAUGUUUAAGAAAAGAGCGAGUUUUGAAGAGGAAUGAUGAGUUUGAGUUUGAGUUUGGGUUGAGUUUGAAUUUUGAGUUUGAAAGUGAGAGAGACAGUUCAAUUUUUUUUAAGAUAAGUUGAGAGUUUUAUGAUGAUGUUUGUUUCGAGUCAAAACCUUUUAAAGUUUGAAAGUAAAGGCUUUUGAGUUUGGAGAAAAUGUGUGAGUUUCAAAUAUAUUUUGAGUUUCAAGAGAAAACGAGUAACUUUUGUUUCUUUCGAAGAGCUUGGAUUGUGGAAGUGGACGAGAAACGCGAAGGUGCUGCGACAUAGGAUGCGAGGUGUUAUGUGUUUAUGCAUGUUUAAUUACGUGAGAGAUAUGAAUGACGUUUUAUGUAAUGGUUUGUAGAUGUUGAGGUAUGAGGUAGAUUAUGAAAUUGUUGAUGGAAGUGAAGUAUGAGACAAUGAGCUUUGCGUGCGAACAUAGAGUAACUAAGAGAUAGGCUAGGAUGAACAUGCUCGAAUUUAGUUAAGAAGUUUCAGCUGCAACCCCACUUUCCUGAGUGAUAAGAUUAACUAAAAUCUGUAGUUGAGCUCGAGUUAAGAUGGGUAGUUACAAUUUCCUAUCAUUUUCCCUGAACCUUAAAAACAAGGAGAAUACAAAACGAUGUUGCGUGUGAUAAGGAGUUCAAGAAGAAAAGAAGUUCAAAAUGAAAA